GCCCUCGUAGCUCAACUGGAUAGAGCGCCGGACUUCUAAUCCGGGGGUUACAGGUUCAAAUCCUGUCGAGGGUA
rfam:Parcubacteria group bacterium RIFCSPHIGHO2_02_FTLL_48_10b rifcsphigho2_02_scaffold_2445, whole genome shotgun sequence.